UAUUAUCUAUUGCUGUAAUUAGUAUACCAAUCCGUUUGAGGAUGCGUCUUCCUGAUCGCGUGGUAGAAAGCCUAAUGAACUGGGCUCUUUCUUGUGUCUCGGCUAUUUCCUCCAGUGUAUCUAUUGUGCGGUCC
rnacentral:lncRNA from 1 species